AAACUAACAAGGAUUCCCCUAGUAGCGGCGAGCGAAGCGGGAAGAGCUCAAAUUUAUAAUCUGGCACCUUCGGUGUCCGAGUUGUAAUCUCUAGAAAUGUUUUCCGCGUUGGACCGCACACAAGUCUGUUGGAAUACAGCGGCAUAGUGGUGAGACCCCCGUAUAUGGUGCGGACGCCCAGCGCUUUGUGAUACAUUUUCGAAGAGUCGAGUUGUUUGGGAAUGCAGCUCAAAUUGGGUGGUAAAUUCCAUCUAAAGCUAAAUAUUGGCGAGAGACCGAUAGCGAACAAGUACCGUGAGGGAAAGAUGAAAAGCACUUUGGAAAGAGAGUUAACAGUACGUGAAAUUGUUGGAAGGGAAACGCUUGAAGUCAGACUUGCUUGCCGAGCAAUCGGUUUGCAGGCCAGCAUCAGUUUUCCGGGAUGGAUAAUGGUAGAGAGAAGGUAGCAGUUUCGGCUGUGUUAUAGCUCUCUGC
rnacentral:rRNA from 1 species